UACAGAGGUCCCAAGCGUUGUUCGGAUUCACUGGGCGUAAAGGGUGCGUAGGUGGUUGAAUAAGUUUGAUGUGAAAUCUCCGAGCUUAACUCGGAAACUGCAUUGAAUACUGUUUGACUAGAGGAUUGGAGGGGGGACUGGAAUUCUCGGUGUAGCAGUGAAAUGCGUAGAUAUCGAGAGGAACACCAGUGGCGAAGGCGAGUCCCUGGACAACUCCUGACACUGAGGCACGAAAGCUAGGGGAGCAAACAGG
rnacentral:rRNA from 1 species